CUGCCAUAUCACAUUGAAACAUUGGUUCCCGUACGAUCACCCAAGUUAAGCAUCAUCAAACCAGGGCUGUACCCCGAUUGGUGACCGCUUGCGGAUAUCAGGUGCUGUAAG